rnacentral:misc_RNA from 1 species
CUAUCUUAAACCACAAAAAAAAAAAAAAAGGGAAAAAGGAAAAAAAAUAUUUUUUUGAAGGAUAGAUAUAAUCUUUAUUAUUCAUCUAGGUAUUGAAGUUGGCUUGUUAAGAAACAAAAGUUUCCUUUUUGAAGGUUAUCCAUUUUGUAAUGUGGAUUGUGGUGUUGGGAUUUCAGGUCGGAGUCUCUCACUGCUUAGUUACUGUACAUGUUUCAGUUGUUGUAAAUAGAUCAGACGAUCGAUCAGGGUUGGAGGCAUCCUGGUUGACUCAAAACAGUUGAUUGUUACUGUUGUAAUUUUUUGGGAGCUUGUAUUUACUUUACACAGUUUGUUAUUGAGUUUGUUAUUGAGUUAAGAUUAAUUUGAUGAGCGGUUAUUGUAGUAUUGAGAGUGAGAUUGAUUGUUAAAAUGGGGAAAGAACAAGAAGGUUAAGUUACUUGCGACUUUAGAGCUUUACGUUAUCAAUGAUGAUUUCGUUCAGCUUAGAAAUUCUUCUCGAUUUUCUCCGCAAGAGUGGCAACUAAUUGCCCCUAACCAAUCUUUGACUCGAAGUUGA